UUUUGGCACAUUUUUUUUGUUUAACUUUCUGAGGUUGCCAUCUCUUAUUUACCAGUAUUCGUUAUCGAGUACCGGUACCGAUACCGGUAUUGGUCCUUCAUCCCUGGAUAUAAUUUUUUAUAUUUACUUUAUUUGUAUAAGUGCAAACAUUUCCGCAGCCCAAAUCCAACCCGUUGAACGACUUAAUCCAGUAAUCUGAAUAGUUGUACAUUUGUGAACCUUCUGCCUGAUGAAUUUCAACAAAUCUAAAUACAGAUCUCAAUUGGCUGAAAUCUAAAAUAUGUUUUAACAAUUGCUGAAUUGCCACAAUCAAACUGAAACUAAAAUUUGAUGUUUUUGGGUAAAAAAUAGCUCAAGGAUUAUUGUUUUCCCUUUUUGUUUUUGUAACACUUUAAAUUUUUUUUUUAAUUUUUGUCCGAGGUCCGAGAACUUUGUCCAACCCUGCUCUAUUUCAUAUUUUCAGCUUUGUUGAGAAAUAAAUCACUGAUUUUUGAAUAAUAUCUAUUUUGUUUUAAAAUUCAAUAGAAUUAUAUUGGGUAAUCAUAUAUAUUAAUAUGAUUUAUUUUCAGUAUGUAUGCUAUGUAAUCUUACCCAACCAACCUUAAUUAAGUGUUAUUAUAUUUUAAAGUGAAUUGGAAAGUAGACCGCUAGCAAAAAAGAUUCGGGCGAUUGGGGGGAAGCCCAUCUCUGUACAAUGACUGCCGAAUGUGCAUGCAACUGUGCAAUGCCCAGCGACUCUAAAAGUAUGAAGUAUUGUACGACACAUCCUUUACAAAUAUUUGGACAUAUUUUGUGUAAUAUCCAUUUUUUUCCGGUUCUAAAUAAUUAUUACCGAUUAGAUAUUCUGUCAAGUGUCAAUAUUACCAUUAGAUCAAGCCAUGCUCCAAUCCAGUCCAUGGAAAAAUUGUUGGGACAGGCGGUAGAAACUCUUAUGCUACAAGCUACGGCAUCUGCAACUUUCCACUGAUUAUAGUGUGGACUCGGACAUAAAGGAAUUGAUGAAAUUCAUUGUCAAUUUAUUGUCUGAUUACAUUUUGAUCCAGAAAACAUUCAAGGAUGAAAAAAUCGCUCAUAAGAUAUUUGUCAAGUCUCGGAGGUUGCUCCAAGAAAGACUGGUUUGGAGAAUCAUGAGCUCAGUUAUAACAAAUUUACUCUCCCGCUCUUUCAACUGUGCAAGACGCGGUGGAUAAGGAGUGAGUGGGACGCCCUUAGUUUCUGCUAUUAAAGCUCUGGAUGAUCUGGCAACGAACUCCGAUUAAUUUUAUUACAUGUAUACAUAUUUGUAAAAUAAAGACAUUUUGUUA